rnacentral:rRNA from 1 species
CCUUUUUUCCCUUNGGGGACCUGCACACAGGUGCUGCAUGGCUGUCGUCAGCUCGUGUCGUGAGAUGUUGGGUUAAGUCCCGCAACGAGCGCNACCCUCGAUCUUAGUUACCAUCAUUUAGUUGGGGACUCUAAGAUAACCGCCGGUGAUAAGCCGGAGGAAGGUGGGGAUGACGUCAAGUCCUCAUGGCCCUUACGCGCUGGGCUACACACGUGCUACAAUGGCAACUACAGUGGGUAGCGACCCUGCGAGGGCGAGCUAAUCCCCAAAAGUUGUCUCAGUUCGGAUUGUUCUCUGCAACUCGAGAGCAUGAAGGCGGAAUCGCUAGUAAUCGCGGAUCAGCAUGCCGCGGUGAAUACGUUCCCAGGCCUUGUACACACCGCCCGUCACACCAUGGGAGUUGGAUUCACCCGAAGGCGUUGCGCCAACCCGCAAGGGAAGCAGGCGACCACGGUGGGUUCAGCGACUGGGGUGAAGUCGUAACAAGGUAGCCGU